GUUCACCGACAGGGCCGAUACUAUCUCAUCCAAACCUCUCUUGUCCAAGUUCUGAACAUGGAUGUCGAUAUCUUUAGCACCGGGGGAGCACGCUUCUGUUGCCGGUGGGACGGCGGGGGCGACGAGAUUGUACAGCACCUCGCACUGCGCUCGUGGCUAGGCAAACACAUCCUUGCCGCAUCUCGGCGAAAUCACGGAGGAGAUUCGCGCUGAGAGAAGCUCAGAUCGGAUCGGGGGCCUCGAGGGAGUGUUGAUUUGCGGCAGAAAGAAGUUCGAAGCAUCACAGGCGAUGCUCGAUCUCGUGGCUGGUGGUAGAUUGGAAGACCGAGAUGCUCUGACCAGAGGGCUUGUUAAUGACUAUUGGGGCUGCACCUCGACCUUGUUCCUUAGGGAGGAGCAGCAGCAGAGCGCCGCGGCGGGAGGAGUAGCAGCAGAGGGCCACUACAGCACGCGAGGAGCAGCAGCAGAAGCCCCGCGGUGGCGCACAAGGGGCAGCCGAGCAGCAGCAUGGGCCGCAUCUGCGCGAGGAGCAACAGCAGAGUCCAUGCGACGCGCACGAGGAGCAGCAAUGGAAGGUGGCGUCGGCGCGUGAGGAACAACAUCAGAAGGCAGCGUCAAGAGGAGGGGGCAGCAAACCAGCGAGCAAUCCUGAUGUUAGCCUUCCCCAAAACCGGCAAACGGGCAAUUGUUCAUGGAGUGGAAGGAGAGGAGCGUCAGGGAGAUGGCCAUGUACAUGACUGGCAUCUUCCCUUCUACAUCCACCAGACCCCUUACAAUCAAGGUAAAAUACCAUGAUCAUGUAUGUGUACAUGGGAGUGCAGCAAUUUCAAGAUCACCACCUCCCCAGAUAGGUCAGAAAGUUGUUAAUAUGCUUAGUUUUAACUAGCAGCGGUGUCUUUAAUACUGUAUUUUCAGCCUUUUGCACUUUUGGGAAGCUCAUUGAUAGUUUGUAUCAAGUCCUAAAUUUCUGCCAGAAUCAUUCCUACUGUGUUUGGCAAUCCAGUUUUCUUUUGUUCUCCUGCCUUCUAGGUUCUACAUAGACCACUUUUGUUUGUAUAUCACCUGUUUUUUUUUCACAUAUGAUCCUUUGAAUAGAACAGAAAAAGGCACCCAUGCACAUGAAGGAUUAAACCACCUCAUGGUAACUUUGGCAGUCUGGUAUGAGUAAUACUCCGUCCGUUCCUAAAUAUAAGUCCUUUUAGAGAUUUCAAUAUAGACUACAUACGGAGCAAAAUGAGUGAGUCUACACUCUAAAAUAUGUCUACAUACAUCCGUAUGAAGGUCGUAUUGAAAUCUCUAAAAAGACUUAUAUUUAGAAAGGGAGGAAGUAUAUGACAUGGUGACUUUUACUGAAUCGGUAUGGUUUUAACAUAAGGAUUUAUGAGAUAUCUACCUUGUUUGGUUCUUGUAGGGAAAGGUGAGGUGGGGGACUAUGUUUCUCUUCUCGUUUUCUUCCCCUCAACCAGUUUUUAUUUCCUCUUCUACCAAUCUCAGUCGCCUCUCCGCUCAAAACAUUUGUAUCAAUCCGAUCAUCGCUAAAACCAUCCAAGCCAUAUGUUUAGGAAGGUGGGAGUUGAAGCUUGAUUAUUCUAACCUCAUUAACUCUGCUGGCUGACACUGGGUAGUGGGUACUAACCAUUUUUUUAAGAUAUAAAAAGGCAUUGAGCCUGAGUUUUUAUAAAUAAAGCCAAACAUGGCAAGGGGGCAUACAUCAGGAGAUAAUAGUGUGAUGGUUCAAAGGUUCAGUAGCACAGAAAUAAUAGUAAGUGGCACACAGGCCAGCACAAACUAAAAGGCACACAGCCCAGUAGAGGAUAGCACCAGUACAAUACAGACUCAGGUGGCAGACGACAGUUCUUCCUCAACCUCCGCUUCCCAGUCCACACUUUGCCCCUCCUCGCCGUAUGCCCUGCUGACCCACAGGAAGUAUGCAAAGUUGAUGCCACCAGAAGCAGUGAGCAGCCACCAGUAGUAGUUGUUGAGCCACUUCCCUCCACGACCUUCCCUUAGAAAGAAGUCCACCAGAUAAGCCACCUCCGCCACUAUGUAUGUCAGGGACAUACCGAGGCUGGAGAGGCUCUUCGGCAGCUCGGUGUAUACGAACUGCAUCAUCGCCACCACACCGACUGCAUCGGCCAGCCCCCCCAUCACACAUUGCGGCAGACUCCAGAGGACAGAUAUGUGACGUUCACGAGUAGAUCGCUCCAUGACUGCUGAAACAGCCAUCGCCAUGGUGCCAAACAGAAGGCUUGCGCCAAUCCUAUGCUUUAUUGUGUGCCCCCUCCGGUUGCCAGCAAUACGGUGGAAGAUUUGAGCUAGCCAGCGAUCGUACGUGCUUGUACACAAUAAUGCCACAACCAUGCUCAAUAUGACAGGCAAGUUUUGAGGAACAGUCAAAUGAAAAGUACCCAGGUGGAUGUUGUGGUCCAUGACAUCUGCAAGGAGCAUGUCCUGAUUGUCGACCAACUGAAGAAAAAAUGUGGAUAGGCAUAUCGGUAUGAUGCGAAUCACCGAUUUUAGUUGCUCCACGCGGUCCACCGUACACAGUCUCCCCCUGUUGCUGUCAUGUGGCCCUGAGGCUGUAGUGUCCAUGCGGUCACCGAUUAGGCAAGCUCUGUUUAGGAACCUGUUCCAAAGGUAGCCAUGCAUGCAUAUGUAAACCGUAAAGAUGGUGCACAUCAGAUAUAUAGAAUAUGAAUUGUUGAUACUAUGGUAUUCUGGCUUUACUAGGAAUAUCUGUCUAUUGAGUAAAUGGCUCUGGAAAUUAGAGACAAGUAAUGGCCUGUCGCAGGAGGCAGUGAGGAAGAAGCACUGUAGCAAAGAGCUUUUUGUACAUGUUAAGGAUAGACCAGGGCAAUCCCAGUUUAUGCAUGGUCUGCUUAGUAGUAGGGAUUUUGGUUUACAAAUUCUAUUUUAAGAUGGUUGGAAUGGGAAGAACACCAGGUUUUGGGAGGAUCAUUGUCUUGGGGAUAAACCGUGCUGUGAAAACUUUCCUAGAUUAUAUAACAUUAAUAGUAGCUGUAAAAUUUCAGUUGCCACUGCUUUUAGAGAAGGAUGGGGUAGUGUUAAGACUAGAAGAACUUUAAUGGAUAGCUUGUUAGGAAGUUGGAUCAAGAUUCAGCAAUGAAAUUGGGGGGAACCCCUUAAGUUGAAUUUUUUUUUGGAUUGUUGAUACAUAGGCUUACAUACCUCAGGUUGUUGGUUGGAACACUUAGCUUGUUUCCACUCAGGUGGUGGUAGACGCCGUCGUCAGUCCUUUCCGGCAACCGAAACCUCCACUUCUUGAUUGCCGCUAGGAUGGCAACACUCAUCCCAGAGAAUACUGUCGGUGACCCCUUGUCCUUGACAUACAAGUCUGAUCCCAAUAGGAACUUUGCUGUGGAGAGUGCCAUGAGCACGGUCGACGCGGUGAACCAGGUGAUCGGUCUGAACCUGUUCGCCACGUCGAUGGCCACAAUGCCAACUAUGAACGCUGCGCCUAUGCAAGUGUGAUAGGCAUUAAAAUAAGCUUCCCAUGCUUUCUUUCGCGCCUCCUUCGACCGGUAUGUUCUCACGAACUGAUUUGCUCCAAAUGUAACUGAGCAGGGCCUGACGCAGCCAAAGCCAGUGGACAUGAAUAUUAAACCGACAGCAAGGCCCACAUUUCGAUACGGCGGCCAUGCUCCCGGUACCGCAGCACAAAGGCAUAAGAUAACGACCCCCUGUAAUCAGAGAUAACAAACCUCAGUUGUUGGUAAAGAUCGUACCGUUGUUUCUGUUGGUGCUGCUCCCUUACUUUGGUCUAUAUGGAAAACAAGAAAUAAAUCAUGUUUUCAAAGUAUUUGACCUAAAGACCCUACUGAUGUUAUUUUUAAUCUCUGCCCUCUACUGGAUUCUUGGGCUGUUCUGCAGAAAAAAAGAGUGCUGAACAUUCUUAGGGAAGUGGCUGAGAGGCUGGCCCAAGUGGUGCUGGGAGUUUCAUGUUGCUAGGUAGAGUUUAUCUAACUGGUGCGUUGUCCUAUUCAGGUUUCCAAAAAGAUACUGUAGCAUCCUGUAGGUAUAGUUAGAUAUCUGAGGAUGAAUGUCUUUUUUCCUUUUCCUUUUGAUGCUUCAGGUUGUGGCAUCAUAAAGAAUGUGUAAAGGCUUUUGCUGGAUGAUAUUUUACCCCAUUUUCAUAAUGAACAGGAUGGGUGAUCUAUGAAACAAAAAAUCUAUGAAAUGAUUGACUGAACAGUAUUUGUACACUUA